rnacentral:rRNA from 1 species
GGGUUGUGAGGUUAAGCGACUAAGCGUACACGGUGGAUGCCCUGGCAGUCAGAGGCGAUGAAGGACGUGCUAAUCUGCGUAAAGCGACGGUAAGGUGAUAUGAACCGCUACAGCCGUCGAUGUCCGAAUGGGGAAACCCGGUGCACUCAGUGCAUCAUUGCAGCAUGAAUACAUAGUGCUGCAAGGCGAACCGGGGGAACUGAAACAUCUAAGUACCCCGAGGAAAAGAAAUCAACCGAGAUUCCCCCAGUAGCGGCGAGCGAACGGGGAGCAGCCCAGAGCCUGAAUCAGUUUGUGUGUUAGUGGAAGCGUCUGGAAAGUCGCAGGGUACAGGGUGAUACUCCCGUACACAAAAAUACACAUGCUGUGAGCUCGAUGAGUAAGGCGGGACACGUGGUAUCCUGUCUGAAUAUGGGGGGACCAUCCUCCAAGGCUAAAUACUCCUGACUGACCGAUAGUGAACCAGUACCGUGAGGGAAAGGCGAAAAGAACCCCGGCGAGGGGAGUGAAACAGAACCUGAAACCGUGUACGUACAAGCAGUGGGAGCCUUCUUUAUGGGGGUGACUGCGUACCUUUUGUAUAAUGGGUCAGCGACUUAUAUUCUGUAGCAAGGUUAACCGUAUAGGGGAGCCGCAGGGAAACCGAGUCUUAACUGGGCGUUAAGUUGCAGGGUAUAGACCCGAAACCCGGUGAUCUAGCCAUGGGCAGGUUGAAGGUUGGGUAACACUAACUGGAGGACCGAACCGACUAAUGUUGAAAAAUUAGCGGAUGACCUGUGGCUGGGGGUGAAAGGCCAAUCAAACCGGGAGAUAGCUGGUUCUCCCCGAAAGCUAUUUAGGUAGCGCCUCGUGAACUCAUCUCCGGGGGUAGAGCACUGUUUCGGCUAGGGGGCCAUCCCGGCUUACCAACCCGAUGCAAACUGCGAAUACCGGAGAAUGUUAUCACGGGAGACACACGGCGGGUGCUAACGUCCGUCGUGAAGAGGGAAACAACCCAGACCGCCAGCUAAGGUCCCAAAGUCAUGGUUAAGUGGGAAACGAUGUGGGAAGGCACAGACAGCCAGGAUGUUGGCUUAGAAGCAGCCAUCAUUUAAAGAAAGCGUAAUAGCUCACUGGUCGAGUCGGCCUGCGCGGAAGAUGUAACGGGGCUAAACCAUGCACCGAAGCUGCGGCAGCGACGCGUAUGCGUUGUUGGGUAGGGGAGCGUUCUGUAAGCCGUCGAAGGUGGCCUGUGAGGGCUGCUGGAGGUAUCAGAAGUGCGAAUGCUGACAUAAGUAACGAUAAAGCGGGUGAAAAGCCCGCUCGCCGGAAGACCAAGGGUUCCUGUUCAACGUUAAUCGGAGCAGGGUGAGUCGACCCCUAAGGCGAGGCCGAAAGGCGUAGUCGAUGGGAAACAGGUUAAUAUUCCUGUACUUGGUGUUACUGCGAAGGGGGGACGGAGAAGGCUAUAUCAGCCGGGCGACGGUUGUCCCGGUUUAAGCGUGUAGGUGUGUGUUCCAGGCAAAUCCGGUUCACUUUACACUGAGGCGUGACGACGAGGCACUACGGUGCUGAAGUGAUAAAUGCCCUGCUUCCAGGAAAAGCCUCUAAGCAUCAGGUAACACAAAAUCGUACCCCAAACCGACACAGGUGGUCAGGUAGAGAAUACCAAGGCGCUUGAGAGAACUCGGGUGAAGGAACUAGGCAAAAUGGUGCCGUAACUUCGGGAGAAGGCACGCUGGCGCGUAGGUGGAGGGACCCGCUCCCCGAGCCGAAGCCAGUCGAAGAUACCAGCUGGCUGCAACUGUUUAUUAAAAACACAGCACUGUGCAAACACGAAAGUGGACGUAUACGGUGUGACGCCUGCCCGGUGCCGGAAGGUUAAUUGAUGGGGUUAUCCGUAAGGAGAAGCUCUUGAUCGAAGCCCCGGUAAACGGCGGCCGUAACUAUAACGGUCCUAAGGUAGCGAAAUUCCUUGUCGGGUAAGUUCCGACCUGCACGAAUGGCGUAAUGAUGGCCAGGCUGUCUCCACCCGAGACUCAGUGAAAUUGAACUCGCUGUGAAGAUGCAGUGUACCCGCGGCAAGACGGAAAGACCCCGUGAACCUUUACUACAGCUUGACACUGAACAUUGAGCCUUGAUGUGUAGGAUAGGUGGGAGGCUUUGAAGCGCAGACGCCAGUCUGCGUGGAGCCAACCUUGAAAUACCACCCUUUAAUGUUUGAUGUUCUAACGUGGCCCCGUUAUCCGGGGUGCGGACAGUGUCUGGUGGGUAGUUUGACUGGGGCGGUCUCCUCCUAAAGAGUAACGGAGGAGCACGAAGGUCAGCUAAUCACGGUCGGACAUCGUGAGGUUAGUGCAAUGGCAUAAGCUGGCUUGACUGCGAGAGUGACGGCUCGAGCAGGUGCGAAAGCAGGUCAUAGUGAUCCGGUGGUUCUGAAUGGAAGGGCCAUCGCUCAACGGAUAAAAGGUACUCCGGGGAUAACAGGCUGAUACCGCCCAAGAGUUCAUAUCGACGGCGGUGUUUGGCACCUCGAUGUCGGCUCAUCACAUCCUGGGGCUGAAGUAGGUCCCAAGGGUACGGCUGUUCGCCGUUUAAAGUGGUACGCGAGCUGGGUUUAGAACGUCGUGAGACAGUUCGGUCCCUAUCUGCCGUGGGCGCUGGAGAAUUGAGGGGGGUUGCUCCUAGUACGAGAGGACCGGAGUGAACGCACCACUGGUGUUCGGGUUGUCAUGCCAAUGGCAUUGCCCGGUAGCUAAGUGCGGAAAAGAUAAGUGCUGAAAGCAUCUAAGCACGAAACUUGCCCCGAGAUGAGUUCUCCCUGACUCCUUGAGAGUCCUGAAGGGACGUUGAAGACGACGACGUUGAUAGGCCGGGUGUGUAAGCGCAGCGAUGCGUUGAGCUAACCGGUACUAAUGACCCGUGAGGCUUAACCUUACAACGCCAGAGGCGUUU